GACGAACGCUGGCGGCGCGCUUAACACAUGCAAGUCGAACGGAAAGGCCUGCUUUCCCUUGUGGAUUGCGGGUACUCGAGUGGCGAACGGGUGAGUAACACGUGAGUGAUCUGCCCCCAACUUGGGUAUAAGCCUGGGAAACUGGGUCUAAUUCCCGAUAGGACUGCAGGGUGGUGCCUGUGGUGGAAAACGAUUUUCUAGUGGUUGGGGAUGAGCUCGCGGCCUAUCAGCUUGUUGGUGGGGUAAUGGCCUACCAAGGCGGCGACGGGUAGCCGGCCUGAGAGGGUGGACGGGCACAUUGGGACUGAGAUACGGCCCAGACUCCUACGGGAGGCAGCAGUGGGGAAUAAUGCACAAUGGGCGGAAGCCUGAUGCAGCGACGCCGCGUGGGGGAUGACGGCCUUCGGGUUGUAAACUCCUUUCGACCGCGAGGAAGCCACCUGGUUGGAAGGGUGGUGACGGUAGUGGUAGAAGAAGCACCGGCUAACUACGUG
rnacentral:rRNA from 1 species